rnacentral:rRNA from 1 species
ACUCCUACGGAGGCAGCAGUGGGGAAUAUUGGACAAUGGGCGCAAGCCUGAUCCAGCCAUGCCGCGUGAGUGAUGAAGGCCCUAGGGUUGUAAAGCUCUUUCACCGGUGAAGAUAAUGACGGUAACCGGAGAAGAAGCCCCGGCUAACUUCGUGCCAGCAGCCGCGGUAAUGCGAAGGGGGCUAGCGUUGUUCGGAUUUACUGGGCGUAAAGCGCACGUAGGCGGACUAUUAAGUCAGGGGUGAAAUCCCGGGGCUCAACCCCGGAACUGCCUUUGAUACUGGUAGUCUUGAGUUCGAGAGAGGUGAGUGGAAUUCCGAGUGUAGAGGUGAAAUUCGUAGAUAUUCGGAGGAACACCAGUGGCGAAGGCGGCUCACUGGCUCGAUACUGACGCUGAGGUGCGAAAGCGUGGGGAGCAAACAGGAUUAGAAACCCGUGUAGUCCCAUGA